GUUUGGCACAUAUUUAUUGACAAUAUUAGGGUUUUUAUUUAAUUUAUUAAAAAUAAUUUAAAUUUAAAAUUAGUUAAAGUAUAUUAUAUAAAAAUAAUAAUUUUAUUUAUAGUUAAUUAGUACAGAGAUGGGAGAUUGAAAUAGUUGAAAAUUUAUUUAAGUAAAAGAAAAUUUAAUUUAUUGUACCUUGUGUAUCAGGGUUUAUUAAAUAAAAAAUGAUAUUCUAUUUUUCUCGAAUUUAAGAUAUUUAUAAAUUUAUAAAAUUUAUUGUAGUAAAAAUAUUAUUCAUAGAUUUAUAGAAAUGAAAUGUUAAUCGUUCUUAAAUAUAUCUAGUUUUUUAAGAAAUGAAUUAAAUUUAUAUAUUUAUUAAUUAAAUUAACUUCUUUGAAAGUUAAUUUAAGUUUUAAUAUAAAUUUUUAAAGGGAUAAGCUUUUAAGAAUAAAGAUAAUAACUUGAAUUUAAAUUUAAUAAAUAUAAGCUUAGAAUUAGUUAUUAUUUAAAAUUAUGUAAUAAUUUAUUUAUUAUUCUAAUGAUAAUUUACUUUAGUUUUAUUUUUUAUUAAAAUUUUAAUUUUAAUUUAAAAAAUUAAUUAAUAAUGAUGAAAUUAGUAUAAUAAUGUUUAACGAUAAUUUAUAUAAUAUAAAUUUUAUUUAAGAAUUCGGCAAAUUUAAUUUUCACCUGUUUAACAAAAACAUGUCUUUUUGAGUUUUAUAUAAAGUCUAACCUGCCCAUUGAAAAUAUUUUAAAAGGCUGCGGUAUUUUGACCGUACAAAGGUAGCAUAGUCAUUAGUUUCUUAAUUGGGAACUCGUAUGAAUGGUUGAAUGAAAAAUUAACUUUUUUUUUAAAAAUAUUGAAUUUUACUUUUUAAUUAAAAGGUUAAAAUUUAUUUAAAAGACGAGAAGACCCUAUAGAGUUUAAUAAUUGGGGUUUUAUUAUUAAAAAAGAUUAUUUAUAUUAUUAUAAUUUUAAUUAUUUUAUUGGGGUGAUAGUAAAAUUUAAUUAACUUUUAUUAAUUAACUACAUUAAUAUAUGAAAAAUUGAUCCAGUAUUAUUGAUUAAAAAUUUAAAUUACCUUAGGGAUAACAGCGUAAUUUUUUUUUAAGCUCAUAUUAAUAAAAAAUUUUGCGACCUCGAUGUUGGAUUAAGAUUUAAUUUUAGGUGCAGUAGUUUAAAGUUUAAGUCUGUUCGACUUUUAAAUUCUUACAUGAUCUGAGUUCAAACCGGCGUAAGCCAGGUUGGUUUCUAUCUUUAAAAAAUUUUAUAUAUUUUAGUACGAAAGGAUUAGAUAUUUUAUAUAAUAUAAAUUUAAUUGAAUAAGAUUAAUUUUAUCAUUAA
rnacentral:rRNA from 1 species